AUUGAACGCUGGCGGCAUGCCUUACACAUGCAAGUCGAACGGCAGCACGGGUGCUUGCACCUGGUGGCGAGUGGCGAACGGGUGAGUAAUACAUCGGAACAUGUCCUGUAGUGGGGGAUAGCCCGGCGAAAGCCGGAUUAAUACCGCAUACGAUCCACGGAUGAAAGCGGGGGACCUUCGGGCCUCGCGCUAUAGGGUUGGCCGAUGGCUGAUUAGCUAGUUGGUGAGGUAAAGGCCUACCAAGGCGACGAUCAGUAGCUGGUCUGAGAGGACGACCAGCCACACUGGGACUGAGACACGGCCCAGACUCCUACGGGAGGCAGCAGUGGGGAAUUUUGGACAAUGGGCGAAAGCCUGAUCCAGCAAUGCCGCGUGUGUGAAGAAGGCCUUCGGGUUGUAAAGCACUUUUGUCCGGAAAGAAAUCCUUGACUCUAAUACAGUCGGGGGAUGACGGUACCGGAAGAAUAAGCACCGGCUAACUACGUG
rnacentral:rRNA from 1 species